GUGGCUAUUAAAACAGUCUUUGUUUAAUUGCCCGGGAAAGUCUAGAAAAGACUAGGCUAGCAGUAUUCAUCAAGAACAUUGUGGUUAGUGCAGACGUCUGCUUGAUAUUCUGAAAAGAACUUAAAAAGAUGAAAACAUUUUCUUCCCUUGUUUUCGUGUUGUUUCUGUUUUUGAGUGCCUUUAUGGUUGACGAGGCAGUUUCCAUUGGAUUUCGUCUUUUGUCUCCACAUGGUCGUAAUCAGCAACGUCACCAGUCUGGCAACUAUCCAUCUGCAUAUUACAGGGCUGGGCGAGACCAGUUUGAGCAAGACUCAGUGGCUUCACAACAAGAUAUUAUGGAAUAAUUCGCCAAUGUUUUGAAUUUACGAAAAAUAGUAGUGUUUGCUUUGUAUCGGAAUUGCACAGGCUUCCCAAUUUGCUUCUCAAA